UGCCAUCUAGUGGAAGAUACCAAUAUAACACUUUAUUAUCAGGGUGGGGAGGCGGCUGAGCUGAAACAGAAAGUAAAGUUGUUCUUUUGUUCAGGAUCCAUUUUGAGACGACAGAGCAGAAAAUACUAUAUGGAGAUUAUUGAAAAAUAAAGGGUCAGUGUUCUAAAAUGAGUCUCUCCGGGAAGAGAGAGGAGGGGGGCCCUGCCUCUAAAAUUAAUCUCUCUGAGGGACAUGACACCAAAGCUAAGAGACCAAUCAAGCAGGAGAGACCAGCCUCCCCUGUUCCCAGCUGUGUGUCCAUGAAGAGUGACUGGUCUAUGGAACAUCCUCUAAACUUUAGAGAGGGAGACUUUUCUACUGAACAAAGAAACCAACAGGAGAGAUCAGAGUCAGAGAUUCUCAGUGGUCAGUCUUCCC